CGCAGAAUCAAUGGCAAGCCGAGUCGACAGAUUAAUGAAGCUUAUAGCCCUCCAAUGCAGUAUCUGUAUGCUUUACAAAACUAUCCGAGUAUUGCAAAAUUGCAUGAUACAUCAAAUUGGAGCGUAGCCUACAUACUUAUGGACUGUGGACUUAUGUUGCUUAUUUAGAGGCUGCCGUACAUGGAUCAGAUAUGAUAUUGAUUGCAGAAAUUUCUAUACGACUCUUGUGGAUUUCAACAUUGUUCUUCUCCCUAAUUUAGGAAAACUACAAGUAUUUGGUGCACGAUCUAAAAUAGCUGCAGGCUAAUCCUCCCCUAAUGUUCAUAAUGUUCUGUGGUACACAAUAUGGGUAAAGGAGAGCACAUUGCUCUAAUGUUUUUGCAUAUGAUAUUAAAUCAGACAUUUCAGUGGAUAAUAUAUGGUAUUGACUUGGACAUUGGUGUUGUGGAACAAUCUAGCAGGUAUUGGAUCUUAUAGAAUUAUAGAGUUGGCAGGGUCUGAAAAUCAUGGUGUUGGUGUUUCAGCCUAUUAAUCUGUAGAUAAAGAAAUUCCGUACAUCUCUACAAAUAAUCCUGAAGAAAGUUCUACUAUUGCGAACGCUCCAACUGAACAAGAAAUAUGAUUUUUUUUUUAUUGAAGAAGAAGCCAGUUUCUCGAGAAGGAAUACAGAAUAAUAUUUUGGAUUAUUUACUUGAGGUCUCAGAUUCAUCGCAUCAACCGUGAGGGGUAGUAUGCAAGGAUCAACCGAUGUGGAUAACAAAAUCUGGGUGCGAGCUUCCGGGAAAUCUAAUUGGGUCUAUGCAAACAAGCAGAUUUGGAAGAUAAUCCCUGUACAUGUUGAUUUGGCAAAUCUUUGACAGUAGCUGUGGGUCUUAUACUGAUGACAAUCAACGUGUCUUUUCCGACCAACCAGGGGUCGAUUCCAACAUAUGUUUUUCUCUUAUAUAAGGGCAGUGACUUCACUACGUUAGGCUGGAUGAUUCGAUGUGUAGUAGCUUCAUCAAACUGGAUGCUAG